UCCGUAGGGUGAACCUGCGGAGGGAUCAUUACCGAGUUAUACAACUCCCAAACCCACUGUGAACCUUACCUCAGUUGCCUCGGCGGGAACGCCCCGGCCGCCGGCCCCCGCGCCGGCGCCGGACCCAGGCGCCCGCCGCAGGGACCCCAAACUCUCUUGCAUUACGCCCAGCGGGCGGAAUUUCUUCUCUGAGUUGCACAAGCAAAAACAAAUGAAUCAAAACUUUCAACAACGGAUCUCUUGGUUCUGGCAUCGAUGAAAAACGCAGCGAAAUGCGAUAAGUAAUGUGAAUUGCAAAAUUCAGUGAAUCAUCGAAUCUUUGAACGCACAUUGCGCCCGCCAGCAUUCUGGCGGGCAUGCCUGUUCGAGCGUCAUUUCAACCCUCGAGCCCCCCCGGGGGCCUCGGUGUUGGGGGACGGCACACCAGCCGCCCCCGAAAUGCAGUGGCGACCCCGCCGCAGCCUCCCCUGCGUAGUAGCACACACCUCGCACCGGAGCGCGGAGGCGGUCACGCCGUAAAACGCCCAACUUUCUUAAAGUUGACCUCGGAUCAGGUAGGAAUACCCGCUGAACUUAAGCAUAUCAAUAAGCGAAGAA
rnacentral:rRNA from 1 species